AUAUAAAUAAACGUGCCUUGCCUUACAGUAUCCUGCUACUUUAAAGGAUAAGAAUUUCAUACAAAAUGUGUCCUUUCUCUUCUCACAGAUUUUGGCCUUCAUUCUCAUCAGGAACAUUCCUGGCUACGCCCGCUCUGUAUAUAGCUCUUUCUUUGCGUGGUUUGGCAAGAUCUCCUUAGAACUGUUCAUAUGCCAGUACCACAUCUGGCUGGCCGCCGACACCAAGGGCAUUCUGGUCCUGAUCCCUGGAAACCCUUCGCUGAACAUCCUGGUCAGCACCUUCAUCUUUGUUUGCGUGGCUCAUGAGAUUUCCCUCAUCACCAACGACCUGGCCCAGGUGAUCAUCCCCAAAGACAACGUGGCCCUCCUGAAGCGGCUGGGGGCCGUGGGGGUCUUCACUCUGGGAGUCUUGCUGCUGUCCCGGGGCAGCCACAAAACACACGGCGCCUGAUGGUAACAUGCCUUGAUGGUGAGGGGCAAGGGAAGACUCGCCAAGCCCCUUUUUGAGGUUGAAGGGAGGUCCAGUCGCUAAACAGUAGCAGGCCCGGUGUUAUAGCGUACCGAGGGCCACAGGAAGGGACCUCAGUUGUAUUAAAUGACAACACAGGGGCCCGUGGGAGGACGGGGUCUCUCUGCUGGCCGUGUCUGAGCAGAGAACUUUAUGACUGCUGUGAAAGUCGCACACUGAAAAAAAAAAAAUGCGGAAAAAAACAAACAUAACAAAGAAAAAAAAAUACACAACGUUUACAUUAUUUGGAUUUAUGAGAAGAACAGCGGAGGAAAUUGAUGUGAGAUUUUAUGUGAAACAAAAAGAGGUCUUCUCAUUAAAGACCUCGUGCUUGCCGUGUGAAUCUUUUGCAGCGUUGCUCCUAUUUAGCCAAACCCAAGUUUAAAGUUUAAAUUUGUCACUUACAAUACUUCCUAUUAUUACUCCACUCUGGAAGCGAUCACUAGCCACACACUCCGUCCAUUUGGCCAUAGCAGUUGAAGGUGUUUUCACUCAGGAGGAUCCAUAAUCUACUUAUUCAGAUAUCUAAAUAUAAAAUUGUUACAACGUGCUGAUUUCCAUGAUCAACUUUGUACAGUAGUUCUGUUUACUUUAAAACAGUGUUAGAUAUCUGAAUAUGCAAGCUAUGGACCAACAGCUCACUUGUUUGAUCAAAAAACAGUCGAACUUUGGAGUGCAAUUGUUAAAAUGUUGAAUAAUCCCUCGACAUAUUUUUGCUAAUGUCUUUGUGAUUUUUGAAAUGUUCGCCUUGUGAUGAAAGGCACUGUGUCACUGGUCACCUGCUGUGUCUCUGAAAUUCUAUGUGAUAUAUGUACAGUAUUUAAUGAUUUUAAAUUAAGCGUAUAUUUUAUAAAUGUUUUUUUCUUUCUUUUGGGCUUUGUUUUAUGUUUCGCUCAUGACUGCUGUUUGUGAAGGAAGUAUUACACGAAUAACUUUUGUACCCAUCCCAGCAUCUCGUAGAUGAUCACUUGCCUCAGAGACGCAUUGCGGAGGUCGAGCCUUUACAGUCUAAUACCCGUCUGUCCUAUCAGCUAUUAGUCUGUGUAUAUUUGUAUGAUAGAGUGAAAGACUUUAUUUUAUACAGCAAUGCUUUAGCAGUGUUUUUAGUUUGAUUUCCUUUGAUUGCCGUUAAAAACAUGCCUCUUAGCUCUGGUGGAAAAUGUACCGCCUUGCACAUAUUACUGUACAAUAGGAAAUCGAAGUAUAAAUCCUCCAUGUGCGGGCACAGCCGGUGAAUUCUUUUAAUCAGUGAGUGAAAAAGUGAUUUUCUUAGACUCAUGCAUCCAAACAGAGCCUCUCAGUGGCUUUAACAAGAGUACAUCUAGCCGUCUGUUCAACUCUGCAUCACUGCCACAAUGCCAACAUCUAAAAAACCAACUCCUUUGACUGAGCUUAGAAGGCAUAUUACAAACAAAUAUUGUAUAUUUUGACAAAUGGGUUAUGUAGCUUUGCCUAUAUCUCCUCACAGACAUUUACUCAAAGAGAUGGUCACUUUUAUUUGAAGACCUGCAUUUUCUUUUCAGCUUAGCAGUGAACUCCAAAGCAUAAUGAGAGUUUAACAAGGUAAUAUGUGCAGAAAUGUUAUGUACUUGAGCACAUUUUUUAUUGGGUAAAUGAUAGGUUUAAAAAAAAAAAAAAAAA